AGAGUUUGAUCCUGGCUCAGGAUGAACGCUGGCGGCGUGCCUAAUACAUGCAAGUCGAGCGAACUGAUUAGAAGCUUGCUUCUAUGACGUUAGCGGCGGACGGGUGAGUAACACGUGGGCAACCUGCCUGUAAGACUGGGAUAACUUCGGGAAACCGAAGCUAAUACCGGAUAGGAUCUUCUCCUUCAUGGGAGAUGAUUGAAAGAUGGUUUCGGCUAUCACUUACAGAUGGGCCCGCGGUGCAUUAGCUAGUUGGUGAGGUAACGGCUCACCAAGGCAACGAUGCAUAGCCGACCUGAGAGGGUGAUCGGCCACACUGGGACUGAGACACGGCCCAGACUCCUACGGGAGGCAGCAGUAGGGAAUCUUCAGCAAUGGACGAAAGUCUGACGGAGCAACGCCGCGUGAGUGAUGAAGGCUUUCGGGUCGUAAAACUCUGUUGUUAGGGAAGAACAAGUACGAGAGUAACUGCUCGUACCUUGACGGUACCUAACCAGAAAGCCACGGCUAACUACGUGCCAGCAGCCGCGGUAAUACGUAGGUGGCAAGCGUUAUCCGGAAUUAUUGGGCGUAAAGCGCGCGCAGGCGGUUUCUUAAGUCUGAUGUGAAAGCCCACGGCUCAACCGUG
rnacentral:rRNA from 1 species